rnacentral:rRNA from 1 species
UACGAAGGGUGCAAACGUUUGCUCGGAAUCAUUGGGCGUAAAGCGCACGUAGGCGGCUUCAAAAGUCGGAUGUGAAAUCCCUCGGCUCAACCGAGGACGUGCAUCCGAAACUGUGAGGCUUGAGUACUGAAGAGGAUCGCGGAAUUCCCGGUGUAGCGGUGGAAUGCGUAGAGAUCCGGAAGAACACCGGUGGCGAAGGCGGCCUGCUGGGCAGUUGCUGACACUGAGGCGCGACAGCGUGGGGAGCAAACAGG